rnacentral:tRNA from 1 species
GGGGCUGUAGCUCAGUUGGAAGAGCGCCUGGUUCGCAAUCAGGAGGCCAGGGGUUCGAGACCCCUCAGCUCCACCA